AUGUGUUCCAUGCAUUUCUCCCUGCAGCCUCGCACCUUUGAGACAGAGGAGUCCAAGGUGGCGUUCGUGCUUACUCUGCUUUUCGGGAAGGCCGCCCUGUGGGGAACGGUGGUGUGGGAGAACCGAGAUCCAUGCUGCGCCUCGUUCCACUCCCUCUCCUAUGAAAUGAAGAGGGUAUUCGACCGUGCCGUGGCCGGCAAGGAGGCGGCCCGCGAGCGGGCGGAGCUCAAGCAGGGGAAUCACUCCGUGGCAGAUUACUCCAUCAGAUUUCGCACCUUGAUGGCCGCAUGCAAGUGGAACGAGCAGGCGCAGUGGGAUAUGUUCCUGCAUUUGUUGGCCGACCGUGUUCACAAGGAGAUCUACCUCCUCGAGUUGCCAACCAGCCUCAAUGGACUCAUCGACUUGGCGCUCCGCAUGGAUACUCGCAUCGAUCGCCUGGGGGCACAUGCCGGGAAGUCCUCAACAUCAUCCACUCUCCUUCCAGUGAAACUGAGAUGGGCCAACAACACGCACACCUGUCACGCCCUUCUGGACUCGGGAGCCGAAGAUCACUGUCAACGCACUCAAUGGCCAGGAACUGCCCUACAUUACCCACACCACUGGACCUAUAACCCUUCUCACCUCUGGCAACCACACCGAGAACAUCCCUUUCCUCCUCAUGGACUCUCCUGUGGCACCCAUCGUCCUUGGUCACCCCUGGCUUGUCAAACACAACCCACGAGUGGAUUGGGGUUCCAACACCAUCACCUCGUGGAGUGAAUGUUGUCAUGAGUCUUGUCUGGUUUCUGCUUGUCCUGCUGUGUCUGUUUCUGUGUUUCAGGAGGAGACCAUGGUGUUAUCAAACGUGCCCGCAGAGUACCUGGACCUGCAGGAAGUGUUCAGUAAGUCCCGCGCUGCAUCUCUUCCUCCGCAUNUCCCCUGAACCGAUUGGUUGUUCCGGAGGAGUGACGGUCCGACGUGAUUCAGUGGGGUCACUGCUCCAAUGUCGCUUGUCACCCAGGAAUAAGCCGCACUAGAUGCUUGGUUAGGCAACGAUUCUGGUGGCCACUUAUGGCUCGUGACAUUCACGAUUUUAUGUUGGCCUGCUCAGUUUGCGCCAGUGGUAAGGAGUCUAACUGACCUCUAUAUGGGUUCCUUCAACCACUGUCUGUCCCUUCGAGACCCUGGUCCCACAUCGCUCUAGAUUUUGUUACCGCCCUCCCGCCCUCUAAUGGCAUGACGGUCGUUUUGACCAUAGUGGACCUAUUCUCGAAGGCGGCACAUUUCAUUCCCUUGCCCAAAUUACCCUCAGCCAAGGAGACAGUGGUUACUGUAAUUGAUCACGUCUUUCGGUUACAUGGCCUCCUGGUAGACGUGGUUUCUGACAGGGGAUCUCAAUUUGUGUCCAAAUUUUGGAGGGAGUUUUGUAAAUUGUUGGCAGCGACGGUUAGUCUGUCUUCGGGUUACCAUCCGCAGAGCAAUGGUCAGUCUGAGCGGGCCAACCAGGAUUUGGAGAGAACGUUGCGAUGUUUGGUCUCCAAGAAUACUUAUUCCUGGAGUCAGCAACUCUCUAUGGUUGAGUACGCUCAUAACUCGCUACCAGUGUCAUCCACCGGCCUCUCUCCAUUUGAAUGUAGUUUAGGUUACCAGCCACC
ensembl:lncRNA